AGUGAACGCUGGCGGUAGGCCUAACACAUGCAAGUCGAACGGCAGCACAGUAAGAGCUUGCUCUUACGGGUGGCGAGUGGCGGACGGGUGAGGAAUACAUCGGAAUCUACUUUUUCGUGGGGGAUAACGUAGGGAAACUUACGCUAAUACCGCAUACGACCUACGGGUGAAAGCAGGGGAUCUUCGGACCUUGCGCGAUUGAAUGAGCCGAUGUCGGAUUAGCUAGUUGGCGGGGUAAAGGCCCACCAAGGCGACGAUCCGUAGCUGGUCUGAGAGGAUGAUCAGCCACACUGGAAGUGAGACACGGUCCAGACUCCUACGGGAGGGAGCAGUGGGGAAUAUUGGACAAUGGGCGCAAGCCUGAUCCAGCCAUACCGCGUGGGUGAAGAAGGCCUUCGGGUUGUAAAGCCCUUUUGUUGGGAAAGAAAAGCAGCAGGUUAAUACCCCGCUGUUCUGACGGUACCCAAAGAAUAAGCACCGGCUAACUUCGUG
rnacentral:rRNA from 1 species